rnacentral:rRNA from 1 species
CAAUAGCGUAUAUUUAAGUUGUUGCAGUUAAAAAGCUCGUAGUUGGAUUUCGGGUGGGUUGUAGCGGUCAGCCUUUGGUUAGUACUGCUAUGGCCUACCUUUCUGCCGGGGACGAGCUCCUGGGCUUAACUGUCCGGGACUCGGAAUCGGCGAGGUUACUUUGAGUAAAUUAGAGUGUUCAAAGCAAGCCUACGCUCUGAAUACAUUAGCAUGGAAUAACACGAUAGGACUCUGGCUUAUCUUGUUGGUCUGUAAGACCGGAGUAAUGAUUAAGAGGGACAGUCGGGGGCAUUCGUAUUUCAUUGUCAGAGGUGAAAUUCUUGGAUUUAUGAAAGACGAACUUCU